rnacentral:rRNA from 1 species
CCUACGGGAGGCAGCAGUCGAGAAUCAUUCACAAUGGGGGAAACCCUGAUGGUGCGACGCCGCGUGGGGGAAUGAAGUUCUUCGGAUUGUAAACCCCUGUCAUGUGGGAGCAAAUUAAAAAGAUCGUACCACAAGAGGAAGAGACGGCUAACUCUGUGCCAGCAGCCGCGGUAAUACAGAGGUCUCAAGCGUUGUUCGGAAUCACUGGGCGUAAAGCGUGCGUAGGCUGUUUCGUAAGUCGUGUGUGAAAGGCGCGGGCUCAACCCGCGGACGGCACAUGAUACUGCGAGACUAGAGUAAGGGAGGGGGAACCGGAAUUCUCGGUGUAGCAGUGAAAUGCGUAGAUAUCGAGAGGAACACUCGUGGCGAAGGCGGGUUCCUGGACAUUAACUGACGCUGAGGCACGAAGGCCAGGGGAGCGAAAGGGAUUAGAUACCCUUGUAGUC